rnacentral:rRNA from 1 species
UGGGGAAUAUUGCGCAAUGGGCGAAAGCCUGACGCAGCGACGCCGCGUGUGGGAUGACGGCCUUCGGGUUGUAAACCACUGUCGGGAGGGACGAAGAUCUGACGGUACCUCCAAAGGAAGCACCGGCUAACUCUGUGCCAGCAGCCGCGGUAAUACAGAGGGUGCUAGCGUUGUCCGGAAUCACUGGGCGUAAAGGGCGCGUAGGCGGCCCGGUAAGCAGGGGGUGAAAUCUUGCGGCUCAACCGCAAGGCUGCCUUCUGAACUGCCGGGCUGGAGCACGGUAGAGGCAGAUGGAAUUCCCGGUGUAGCGGUGGAAUGCGUAGAGAUCGGGAAGAACACCAGUGGCGAAGGCGGUCUGCUGGGCCGUUGCUGACGCUGAGGCGCGACAGCGUGGGGAGCAAACAGG